rnacentral:piRNA from 1 species
UUCGCACAACGUCACAAUAGC